GACGAACGCUGGCGGCGUGCCUAAUACAUGCAAGUAGAACGCUGACGGAGGAGCUUGCUCUUCUUGAUGAGUUGCGAACGGGUGAGUAACGCGUAGGCAACCUGACUGGUAGCGGCGGAUAACUAUUGGAAACGAUAGCUAAUACCGCAUCACAGUAGAUGUUGCAUUACAUUCGCUUAAACGUUGCACUUGCCUCGAUACCAUAUGGCCCUGCGUUGUAUUAGCUAGUUGGUGGGGUAACGGCUCACCAAGGCGACGAUACAUAGCCGACCCGAGAAGGUGAACCAGCAAAAUGGGACUGGGGAACCGGUCAAGAUCCUACGGGGGGCAGCAGUAGGGGAUUAUCGGACAUGGACGGAAGGCUGGACGAAGAACGCCCCCUGAGGGAAGGAGGUUUUCCGAGCGUUAAGCUCUGUUGUUAGAGAAGGAAGAGUGGCAGGGUAGAAAGUUCACGCUGUGACGGUAUCUAAAGAGAAAGGACCGGCUAACUUCGUG
rnacentral:rRNA from 1 species